rnacentral:rRNA from 1 species
GGAUGCGAUCAUACCAGCACUAAAGCACCGGAUCCCAUCAGAACUCCGUAGUUAAGCGUGCUUGGGCGAGAGUAGUACUAGGAUGGGUGACCUCCUGGGAAGUCCUCGUGUUGCAUUCCC